CAGUCGCCACGGUAAUACGUAGGUGGCGAGCGUUGUCCGGAUUUAUUGGGCGUAAAGGGAGUGUAGGCGGUCUUUUAAGUCUGAUGUGAAAGCCCACGGCUCAACCGUGGAGGGUCAUUGGAAACUGGGAGACUUGAGUGCAGAAGAGGAGAGCGGAAUUCCAUGUGUAGCGGUGAAAUGCGUAGAUAUAUGGAGGAACACCAGUGGCGAAGGCGGCUCUCUGGUCUGUAACUGACGCUAAGGCUCGAAAGCGUGGGGAGCAAACAGGAUUAGAUACCCCUGUAGUCCCUGUCUCUUAUAC
rnacentral:rRNA from 1 species